GAUGAACGCUGGCGGCGUGCCUAAUACAUGCGAGUCGAGCGAACAGACGAGGAGCUUGCUCCUCUGACGUUAGCGGCGGACGGGUGAGUAACACGUGGAUAACCUACCUAUAAGACUGGGAUAACUUCGGGAAACCGGAGCUAAUACCGGAUAAUAUAUUGAACCGCAUGGUUCAAUAGUGAAAGACGGUUUUGCUGUCACUUAUAGAUGGAUCCGCGCCGCAUUAGCUAGUUGGUAAGGUAACGGCUUACCAAGGCAACGAUGCGUAGCCGACCUGAGAGGGUGAUCGGCCACACUGGAACUGAGACACGGUCCAGACGCCUACGGGAGGCAGCAGUAGGGAAUCUUCCGCAAUGGGCGAAAGCCUGACGGAGCAACGCCGCGUGAGUGAUGAAGGUCUUCGGAUCGUAAAACUCUGUUAUUAGGGAAGAACAAAUGUGUAAGUAACUAUGCACGUCUUGACGGUACCUAAUCAGAAAGCCACGGCUAACUACGUG
rnacentral:rRNA from 1 species